CUUCCUAGCCCUCUGAACUUGGGGGCGGGCUUAUCUGAUGUGAGUGACAGGGGCAUGGGCCACUCCUAGCCUGGGUAGACCAAUCUUAAUGGGGGGGGGGGGCGAUCUGUUCCCCAGGCAACAGGCUGUCCGGGGUUAGACCUAAUAACCUUGACCUCUUCCUUUGUUGCCCUAGCAUUGAAGUCUCCAGGCCAUUAGACUAAACCAGGGAAUCAUAAUAAUCGUAAUAAUUGACAACUGUAUGGUUUCCAACAGUGUUUUUUUUGGAAACAACUAUAAGUUACCUGUUAGGAGCCCUGCAAACAAUGUAGUGAAUUGAACCAGCAUUUAAAAAAAACAAUAGAAUAGAAAAUACCAAGUGACUCUAGAGUAGUAAGUAUUCUUUUUGUGAAACCUUUGUUUCAAUUGUAAAUAUUUAUAUAUGUAUAUUUUAUAUACUGGCUUACCACGUGAAAAUUACUUUUUAAAUGGUGUGUGUAUGCUUUUGUGGUCCUUAGUUAGAAAGGUCCUUAGUUACACUUGCUGUAAAGCACAUUUCAUGUAUAUUGUUUCACGUAAUGAGCACAACAACCCUGAGAGCUUGUAUUAUUAUUCAGUAUUUUUGGAUGAGAAAAACAGGUUCAGCAAGAUUAAGUAAGUCUUUCUUUGGGGUGCCUCAUCAAUCAGGGCAUCAGAAGUAUUAUUUGCAAAAUUCUGUAGUUGUUCAAUACACUUUAAAGUUCAGAUCUGCAGCUCUAGGCCAGUUAUGCACUGGUUUUUCAGGAGCCAACGUUGUAAAAAUAAUAUCUACCUCACCUGGGGAUGUUGGACCAGGGGCUGGUCCCGCUUUCUGUAUCUGAGCAUGAUGGGAGAAGGCACUGAAAAGCAGGACAUUUUUGUCUGGGAGUGUGAGAGGGGGAUGACACAUUUUGUCCCAGAGGUCCCAAUGGAUCUGACAGCCAGGUAAGAUGAAAACAAGGAAGAGCAAACAAAACGGUAAACAGGAGGCAGUCUAGACAAACGCUGGGGACUGCAGAUACAUUCAUGUUUCUGUUUUUGGUGAUACAUAUACUGUGGGGUUGGCCGGGUCUAUUCAAAGGUACUGUGUCACACAGGUGUACCUAAUGCUUUCAAUAUAUUAUCUAAUUACGGAGGGGCUGCAUGCAACCUCCGGCUACCAUAUCUCUAUCCUUCUCCCAUUGUAGCUGAAACCCUAAGCUUCAUUGUUGGUUUUAAGGGGUAGGAAAAUAAAAAGCCAAUUUAAAAAUGUUUACCUCUCAAUGUAAAGUUAAAAUGUUUUGAGUUCUGUUUCUUCUGUUAUUUCUUCAUUGUUUUCUCUUCUUCCAGCCUUUUGAAUGAAAUUGUAAAAUAAAUAAAUAAAUUCAUAAAUAACCCAGGACAAAAUAGAUGAGGAUCACCCUGCUUCUGCCACCAAGUGCCCUGGCCUGACCCAGUUCUCUGAAAUUAUACCCUGACCCAGCACUUUGCAGUGCCUCAGUUUUAUCUUCUCCAUUACUUGAGUUUCUUGUUCUUGACCUUUCUGUGCCAAGGGGCGCCUGCUAAUGUUUGUCCUGUAGGUCAUGUCAUUAUGGUAUUAUGUUACAUGGCAACUUGGAUACCAUGCCUUUUAGCUUUUGUCAAGAGAACCAAAUGAAUUUAGAAAGGGAGGAAAGAUAAGUCUUCAGGAAAUAUGACAUGGACCAAGUCCCUCUCCCCACUGUGUGUCAAUUACUGUAACUGCCUUGCAUUAUAGUCACAGUAAGUGGAACACAGGGGUUGCACAGCCAUGUGGACAGAGCCCUGGUUCCACAAGGAGCACCCAUGUUCUUGACUCUUUCGAGGGGGAUGGUUGGUGGGUCUCCACCGGCACCAUCUAGAGCUCACCUUUUUAAAGUCAAGCACUCUUCCAGUAUCAGUUUUGGCUUACUCCCCAGAACUGCCUAACCAGACCAUCUUCCUGGUUAGAUGACAUGGUACAAUUGUGUGGGUAGUGGCAUAGUCUUUACCAACCAGCCAAAUGGUAGCUUCAGUAGAAACCUGCUAUGGGAGUGGGGAGUGGUGGGGAGGUGUUAGGUGGGAAGGAUUUCUAGGGAGAUUCUUUGUCCACUUCUUCCUCCAGGAGUAGACCCCAGUAGAGGGGUCCAAGUUCUGUCUGCUUAGGAAGGCCAGGGGGCUCACAGUCACAACCCUGAGAUCAAGAGUCACAUGCUUUACCAACUGAGCCAGCCAGGCACCCCAGGGUUGUUGCCUGUUAAAAGACUUCUGGCCAUUUACUUAAGGAUGAAGAGUGGUCCUUCAUGGUCUCUGAAGUCAAAACAUGAGGACAUGGGCUUCAAACACAAAGGAUGAUGAAAAUGUUUUAGAACUAAACAGAAGUGGCAGUUGUACAACAUUGUAAUUAGACUAAAUACCACUGAAUUGUUCACAUUAAAAUGGUUAAUUUUA